AGUGAACGCUGGCGGUAGGCCUAACACAUGCAAGUCGAACGGCAGCACAGUAAGAGCUUGCUCUUACGGGUGGCGAGUGGCGGACGGGUGCGGAAUACAUCGGAAUCUACUUUUUCGUGGGGGAUAACGUCGGGAAACUUACGCUAAUACCGCAUACGACCUACGGGUGAAAGCAGGGGAUCUUCGGACCUUGCGCGAUUGAAUGAGCCGAUGUCGGAUUAGCUAGUUGGCGGGGUAAAGGCCCACCAAGGCGACGAUCCGUAGCUGGUCUGAGAGGAUGAUCAGCCACACUGGAACUGAGACACGGUCCAGACUCCUACGGGAGGCAGCAGUGGGGAAUAUUGGACAAUGGGCGCAAGCCUGAUCCAGCCAUACCGCGUGAGUGCAGAAGGCCUUCGGGUUGUAAAGCCCUUUUGUUGGGAAAGAAAAGCAGCAGGUUAAUACCCCGCUGUUCUGACGGUACCCAGAGAAUAAGCACCGGCUAACUUCGUG
rnacentral:rRNA from 1 species